UGGAUUGAGAUCAGGGACCCCUACGAAAGA
rnacentral:piRNA from 1 species